UACGGGGGGAGCAAGCGUUGUUCGGAUUUACUGGGCGUAAAGGGCGCGUAGGCGGCCAGCACAAGUCAGUUGUGAAAUCUCCGAGCUUAACUCGGAAAGGUCAACUGAUACUGUGCGGCUAGAGUGCGGAAGGGGCAACUGGAAUUCUUGGUGUAGCGGUGAAAUGCGUAGAUAUCAAGAGGAACACCUGCGGCGAAGGCGGGUUGCUGGGCCGACACUGACGCUGAUGCGCGAAAGCAUGGGGAGCGAACGGG
rnacentral:rRNA from 1 species